ACCCUCUCAGGGUCAUACCUGGAGAGUUUCCAGUACUUUACCAGUCUCGACUACAGGAGGGAAAGUCAUGCAGAGGCAUACCCAUUCCAUUCCUAGCUUGGCCAGUGGCUAGCAAGUGUAAGACAAUAUGCUCCAAGU